rnacentral:sRNA from 1 species
UCAAUGGCAUGUUGUAUGGUGUCACUGGA